rnacentral:rRNA from 1 species
UACAGAGGGUGCGAGCGUUGUUCGGAAUUAUUGGGCGUAAAGCGCGUGUAGGCGGCUUUGCAAGUCGGGUGUGAAAGCCCUCGGCUCAACCGAGGAAGUGCGCCCGAAACUGCAUGGCUUGAGUACCGGAGAGGAUGGCGGAAUUCCCGAAGUAGAGGUGAAAUUCGUAGAUAUCGCGAGGAACACCGGUGGCGAAGGCGGCCAUCUGGACGGAUACUGACGCUGAGACGCGAAAGCGUGGGUAGCAAACAGG